UACGUAGGGUGCAGGCGUUAAUCGGAAUUACUGGGCGUAAAGCGUGCGCAGGCGGUUUGCUAAGACAGGUGUGAAAUCCCCGGGCUUAACCUGGGAACUGCGCUUGUAACUGGCAAGCUGGAGUGUGGCAGAGGGGGGUGGAAUUCCCAGUGUAGCGGUGAAAUGCGUAGAUAUUGGGAGGAACACCGGUGGCGAAGGCGGCUACCUGGACCGGUACUGACGCUGAGGCGCGAAAGCUAGGGUAGCAAACAGG
rnacentral:rRNA from 1 species